rnacentral:ncRNA from 1 species
AUAAAAUCAUAAUUUAUUAUUCGUAUAUCCCCGAAAAUAGGGUUUGGGGGUCUCUACAAGGAACCGCAAAUUCCUGGCUACGAAUAGGAUGCUUUGGCAU